rnacentral:rRNA from 1 species
GAUGAACGCUGGCGGCGUGCCUAAUACAUGCAAGUCGAGCGAACGGACGAGAAGCUUGCUUCUCUGAUGUUAGCGGCGGACGGGUGAGUAACACGUGGAUAACCUACCUAUAAGACUGGGAUAACUUCGGGAAACCGGAGCUAAUACCGGAUAAUAUUUUGAACCGCAUGGUUCAAAAGUGAAAGACGGUCUUGCUGUCACUUAUAGAUGGAUCCGCGCUGCAUUAGCUAGUUGGUAAGGUAACGGCUUACCAAGGCAACGAUGCAUAGCCGACCUGAGAGGGUGAUCGGCCACACUGGAACUGAGACACGGUCCAGACUCCUACGGGAGGCAGCAGUAGGGAAUCUUCCGCAAUGGGCGAAAGCCUGACGGAGCAACGCCGCGUGAGUGAUGAAGGUCUUCGGAUCGUAAAACUCUGUUAUUCGGGAAGAACAUAUGUGGAAUUAUCUGUGCACAUCUUGACGGUACCGAAUCAGAAAGCCACGGCUAACUACGUG